GUUCAAAUAGCUCAGUAGGUAGAGCAAAGGACUGAAAAUCCUUGUGACGGCAGUUCGAGUCUGCCUUUGAACA
rnacentral:tRNA from 2 species